UACAAUAAUAUCAUCAUGGCCGCCGUGACAGAUUUUCUAACCUGUAUCUAGAGCCGCGGUCGCAACUAUAUAUGAGAAGCGAGUUCUCGGUUUUUGUGUAAAAAAAAACGUCGAACAAGAUGUCCAUCGAAGGUCGAAGAUAUUCAAAUUAACAAUUGUUAAUUUAUGGUGAUGACGCAGAAUCCUCAUUAUGACAUGCACUAUUCAAUGACACUGAAGCUAGCAGUAUACCACUACACAACAGUGAUACAAAGUGACAUUUUAGGUUUAACAAAGAAAACAUCAUAUAAGAUGUUCACAGAAUUACAGGCUGCAUUCGGAAUUAAAUUCCUGAAAAUAAGUUUUGUUAGGAAGUGCAGAAGCAAACUAUGAUAUAUACGAGGUUAAUUAAUCCAUUCCCGACUAAGAGUUAGAAAUGAGAGACGAAAGUGAAGGCACUUUUGCAGAAAAUACAACCAGAAUUCAUUACUCUUGACUCAACUGAGAUACUCGAAGUUGAUGUACCUACGUAUACAAGGAGAAAGUGGAAAGACAUCGAGAGGUAUUAUUUACUGUGGAUGGAGCUGAGGAUUUGAUGUUACAAGGAUUCUUUUCAUUUUACACUGAUAUGAUAUUAUAUAUUUAUUUUUUAUUUAAAAUUUACGUAUAAAAAUGUGAAAAUUUUAUAAUUAUUCAAUAAAAAAAAUUUU